UUCUCCAAAUCUUCCAAACCAAGCUUUGCUCCAUGGGACCACUUCACCCAGAAGUCUGGGCUGGAGCUCAGGCUCUGACACUGUCAUGGCUCCCAGCUUGAUGGAUGGGAGGAGGCAGGGAGCUGGGUUUCCAGCCAGGAACUAAGGGAACUCUACGCUCCUACAGUCCCUUUACUUACUGGGAUGGUGUUCACCGCCUCUGCCCACUGAGCCUGCCAAAACAAUCUGUCACAGCCAAGCCCAAUCACUCCCCAUUCCCUGCUCCAAAAAAGAAGAAACCUUGCUGCAGCUUCAUAGACAUUUGGUCAAUCUGCAAUAAUAAAAAAUAGAGAGGAGUUUGAAAUUCUUGCUUCAGGCCAUAUGGAGUGGAUAUUCCUUCCAGAAGGAAAUUACAGACCACUCUCUGUUUCUACUCAACUGCUUUUCACUCCAGGAUGCUUCACCUCUUGGGGCCUUCCCCAGCAGAGGCCCAGGAUCACCUGCAAAAGGCUUCCCCAAGGGUGGGGCCAGAAGCAGGGCUGCAGAUAUGUGUCCUGAACCUCCCAUGGACCCUGCUGGCUCCCUUCAAAGGCUUCGGGCAUAGCGACUUGCCUUUCCGUCUUGUUCAGUCGUCACCAGUCAGCCGUCUGCAGACUUCUCUCCCUCACGUUGUGGCAGAGGAGUUGUACAUUCUCUAGAUUUUAAAAAUAUAUAAGUUACUUUUUCUUUAAAAUAAAAAUUGUCUCUGAAAUAA
rnacentral:lncRNA from 1 species